AUACGGAGGAUGCAAGCGUUAUCCGGAUUUAUUGGGUUUAAAGGGUGCGUAGGCGGAUGAUUAAGCGUGAGGUGAAAUGCCACUGCUCAACAGUGGAACUGCCUCGCGAACUGGUUGUCUUGAAUGCUCCUGCCGUGGGAGGAAUGUGUGGUGUAGCGGUGAAAUGCAUAGAGAUCACACAGAACACCGAUUGCGAAGGCAUCUCACGAAGGGGUGAUUGACGCUGAGGCACGAAAGCGUGGGGAUCAAACAGGAUUAGAUACCCUGGUAGUCCACGCAGUAAACGAUGAUAACUAACCGCUGGGUCGUAGUGAUUCAGUGGCCAAGCGAGAGCGAUAAGUUAUCCACCUGGGGAGUACGACCGCAAGGUUGAAACUCAAAUGAAUUGACGGGG
rnacentral:rRNA from 1 species